AGGACGAACGCUGGCGGCGUGCUUAACACAUGCAAGUCGAGCGGUGAUCCUCCUUCGGGAGGUGAUCAGCGGCGAACGGGUGAGUAACACGUGGGCAACCUGCCCCUCACACUGGGAUAACCUCGGGAAACCGGGGCUAAUACCGGAUACGACCUCGAGCGGCAUCUCUUGAGGUGGAAAGCUCCGACGGUGAGGGAUGGGCCCGCGGCCUAUCGAGCUUGUUGGUGGGGUAAUGGCCUACCAAGGCGACGACGGGUA
rnacentral:rRNA from 1 species